rnacentral:lncRNA from 1 species
GUGUACUCAAGAGGGUGUGGACAGCAGUGUCCAUGGGCUUUAGAGCGCUUUUCAGUCCUUGUAACUGAGCUGUUGAAUCCCUAAAACAAAUCGAAGUGAAACCUACAUGAUCUCCUAUUAGAAGUGACGUUUUCGAGUUACUGUGGCACAUUAUGAUUGUAAACGUCUCAGUUUUAACAGUAAGUCUGUGGGAGCCCGGGAGACUCCUGAAAUGUCUGUAGUGAUUGUUAGUCAUGUUUGAGUAAGCGUAGUAUGAACAAAGUGUUUUAUUGCACAGGGUUAACAAACAGUAUGUUGCUAGCUGAGGCUAACUGCUGUUUUAUUACAACAUUACCUCUUGUUUUUAUAAAAUGUACCAAGAUUUUAAAUCGAUAUCUUUAUUUUACAUGUUAAAAAAGUUUCUUUUAUCACCAGUGUUAGAGUUGUCUUCUGUUUUUUUUAUUUUUGUUUUGUUUUUUUUUUCUUGUUUUCUUUCUUAGCCAAAGAGUAAACAGAAGAAUAUUAUUUUGGUAGCUCUUCAUUUUACUUUUAUAAUGAUUGGUGGAUUUUAGACUAAAAAUUGGGGAAGUUUCUGCCAAAAUGAAAAAAAUUUGUGAAGUGUAUUGAUGACAGAAUGCUAAAACUGUGGUUAGUGAUUAUUUAUUCCAUUAAUUAAUUAUUUGACUGUUUUUAAAGAAACAUGCUUUAUUUCUUCAAGCAUCUUCAAAAGAUGGCUUUUCUUGUCACAUUGUCGCCAAAAGAAGCAGAGAACUUCCUGUCCUGCUUUUGGUUCCUGGUUGACCAGGUAUAAUGAGCUUUACAAAGUGCAAAUUACAAACUCACUUCUGUUCACCUCCACCAAAACUUGAUUUCCCCUAGCUAUUAAUUUAAAGUUGCCUUUCCUGCAGCUGCAAUAUUUUGAAUAACACAGAGAUUGUGUUAAGUUUUGAAUGUUUGUUUAUAUCUAGGGGUAAUGGAAAAUGUAAUUCCCGUGUAACCUUAUUCACUCCAGCUGUACCAUAUCAUCUUUCCCAAAGCCCUUUAAUUUUAACUGAACACCAGCAGUAUUUUUAGUAAUUCUCUAAGAUACUUGGAAGACAAUUUAUCAAGCUGAACUGUCUCUAGACGUAAUCAUUGUGAAUGUCUGUUUUCUUUAUCAUGCUGGUUCACAUGGCUCUGAUGUUCAGGUUGUAUUUUUGAAAUUGCUUUACUUAGAAUUAAAACAGACCAACAUUAAAUGUGUGUAUUUUU